rnacentral:rRNA from 1 species
UGGGGAAUAUUGGACAAUGGGCGCAAGCCUGAUCCAGCCAUGCCGCGUGAGUGAUGAAGGCCCUAGGGUUGUAAAGCUCUUUCACCGGUGAAGAUAAUGACGGUAACCGGAGAAGAAGCCCCGGCUAACUUCGUGCCAGCAGCCGCGGUAAUACGAAGGGGGCUAGCGUUGUUCGGAUUUACUGGGCGUAAAGCGCACGUAGGCGGACUUUUAAGUCAGGGGUGAAAUCCCGGGGCUCAACCCCGGAACUGCCUUUGAUACUGGAAGUCUUGAGUAUGGUAGAGGUGAGUGGAAUUCCGAGUGUAGAGGUGAAAUUCGUAGAUAUUCGGAGGAACACCAGUGGCGAAGGCGGCUCACUGGACCAUUACUGACGCUGAGGUGCGAAAGCGAGGGGAGCAAACAGG